CAGUUUAGUUAAUCUAUGGUCCACGAUUUAAUGAUCAGAUGAUAUUGAUUAACAUAAUCAUUUUACUGCAAGAUAUUAAUAUAUGAUUGUUAUGAGUACCAACCCAGGUUUCAGUUUAUUCUUGUGUUUUCAUUGAAGCCAGCGAUAGGAUCUAUAGCAUGUUUUCCCCGCUGCCGCUAAAUAGGCUAUUUGCUUAACAGUGGGCUGAUGUUGUCAUUUUGAACUUCAACUCUGAAGUAGUGUGCUUAAUUUUUGACAUGUUCAAUGGAGGCGCUGGGUGAAGUUCAUCUUAUCUCAAUUGGGUAAAGCACAAAAUACAACUCAUUCACUUUGCAGGACAUGAGCAUCUCUUAGUUUGCAACACAACAGCUUUGUUCAAGAGAUGCAGUUGAUUAUAUUUGCUGUCUUUCUAGGCUUAUGCCCUAUGCAUAUGUUAAGAGUUCUAGAUGUAAUUCUAUAUGUUUUGGUAAACCGAGACUCUUGCUUAAUAGAUCAUUUUAUCAUGAUCUUCACGAUGAAUUUGUUGUGAAGUAUGCAAUGAUUUUAUUAUGGGAGUUCACUCGCGGCAACCUUCUAAGGCCGAAACGUUUUUUCA